UCCCGGGUAGCUCAGACGGUAAAGCGUCUGCCUGCAAUGCUGGAUACCUGGGUUUGAUCCCUGGGUCAGGAA
rnacentral:tRNA from 1 species